GGGGCUCGGCGCCAGCCCCUCUGAAGCGCUCAGCAUCCCCCCCGCUUACGGGAUGGCGGAUGUGUCUGGGGGUAUCCAUGACAACACUGCUGCAUGCCAGGGACAUACCACGGCAACAUGGCCUGGUAGAGUUAGUGUGUGUGUGUGUGUGUGUGUGUGUGUGUGUGUGUGUGUGUGUGUGUGUGUGUGUGUGUGUGUGUGUGUGUGUGUGUGUGUCCUUGGGAGGUUGGCUGGGGGGUCCAUUAAGUACCACAUAUCUCGGUAACAUUAAUAUUCACUCAGACAGGAAAGCUGCUGCUUUUCUCGACAGCUGUGUCAGAACCAGUAUGCAUACGGUUGAUAAGAAAACCACCUUCUUGUACAGCAGCUUCAUUCAUGUACUAUGUGUUGUAUACUUCAAGCACAGGUCAGGAUUCACUGAAUCUAUAACUAACAUGCGUACACACUGACACAAACUAUUUCACACACACAGUAGCUCUGGCAUAGAUCAAGCUGUGUUAUAAUAAUCCCAUCUGGGACGGCCUGGAUCCUCACUCAGACAGUACUCACAAAAUGAUUAUCUGAUGAGAUCCUGUGUGUCUCUACAAGAUGUGAUAUAAGAUGCUUUAUAUGUCACGGGUUAUAUAGUGUCUCUGCCCACACGCUCACAUACACAUGCAUGUAGACUCAGACUCAGAUCCUCGGGGAGUGUAUUUUUAACCCUGACUUCCUGUGCAUUUGCUGAGGGGUUAAAGGCCGGAAUGGUGAAUCAAGUGAAUAAUUCACAAUAGCUGAAACUCUUUCGAUGUAACCUCAGAAAUAAUGGGGGAUGGAGACCAGUGAGAGUUACAUGGUGGCACAAAGUAAUCCUUUUCAUUCUUACUCAGGGUUUUGAGCUAACUGUACAAAGUAAAGGGAAACAAGUAGGUCAAGAACCAAAAGCAAGUCAUCCUGGACUCUUAUUGUCCAAAGUCUGCUUCUUGGCAGGGUCUGUGAAAUGAAAUGACACCUUGCAUGUAUGUGAGCUUAUCUCAAUGUAUAUGUACGUACUAAUCAUUACGCCUAUCGUGUCUUUCCAGGUGCGAUGGAGAUCUCGUGGAUUGUGACUCAGAAAUAAAUGGCACAAUGUUUGGAUUCUUCAGGCUGAAGACGUCAAGGAUAUUCAGCUGAGCUCAAAGGUAAACAAGUCAUCCUGAUCAACAAGAGUUUUCAUCGGAAUAGGAGCAUCAAGACACUUAACAUUACUCUGCAACCCUUGAACCUGCACUGUACUUUCCAUUGCUGUUUUUCUGUCAAUUGGUUGCAUACUCCUGCACUACUGGUCAAACAGACUAAUCCUGUGACCAUGCACUAACUGUAACAACCAAUUGUGUUUUAUAUUUUGUUAUUCUAAAUGGGAGAAUACUUAGAAUAAAAAUAUUUCUCACGUUCAAACCCAUUUUCUUUUCAUGUAAUUAUUUGAGUCUAAAAAGUAUAUAUUUUUGGCAGCUUAAUAAAAGCCUUUUCUUCUUUUAACUGAUGUUUUAGUGUGAGUUAUUUCUCUCCUUUCUGUGUAGUGGGUGUGCACUCCAAGUAAAAAACAAUGUGCUUGACAUAAUUGGGUCCUAUUUGGCUAUGAAAAGAGCACGCGUGCUGAUAAAAGCUGGAAGGGUGAUCAAAGCACAAUGCGUCCCGAUCGACAUCAUACGCAUGACAUGGUUGUAGUUUAUCCUGACAGAUUAAUGAAACGUGAGGAAACAGGGGAAACAGGUUCAGACAGUUUCCAAGAAGCCUUCCUGUUCAUAAUCAGCUCCUUUUUAUAUUUUGUGCACGUCCUCUGACUAACAAAUAAAAUGUGCCUGUGUGUGCAUAACAUGGAACAAUUAAAAAACUGCAAUGAUUGGAUGCAUAUUCUCUGCACCUCCUUGUGUUGCCAUUUCCUCUCUGUCAGGUUUAAGUUUGAUCAAAGAAAAGUAGGACAAUUUCUGUGUAGUAUUCAUGGCAAAGUUUUCCUUAAAAAAAUGUAAACUGUAAGACGAAUAAAAAGUAGGAUCCUUUGGGACAGCAGCCUCAUUUGUCUCCCUUUUCUAUCUUUCAUUAGACUCAUCUUUUUUGACCUCUUCAUUUUCCUUUUUCCCUAAUCGCAUUUGUUUUCUGUCUCUUCCUCUUUAACAUUCAUUCUCCCUAUUUUUCUCACGCUAACUCGAUCUGUAUUUCCUUUACCAGCAUCACUCUUCCCUCCUUUCCUACAGCUGUCUUCGGUCCUGUCUGCCACCCUGGGUCUUCUCCCGCCCUCACCCAUUCUCUCUCGCUCCCUCCCUUGUCUUUCUCUCCCUCUCAGAUGUCAGAUCACAGUCUACUCUUCCGCUUGCCCUGUCAUCACAUUUUUCACACAGGCCCAUCCCUUAAGUAGGUCUGUAUCAUCAUAUCAUAUCAUGUAGAAUAUCUGAUCACAGCAAGAGAUGAAAGAUGGCCUCCACCUCUGUCUCCCCUCCCCCCACAGAGAGACCGACACACAAACGUACACACACGCUAGACUCCAGAAGCGCACACAUGUCAAUGGUCGUGUUGGACGUGAAUUUGAGCCUGACGGCUGGGUCCUGUGUUCAUUUCUACCCACCGUGUUUGCACCAAGUUGUCCAUGUGAUUGUUACAGCGUGGCAGGUGAGAUGGUGUGUAUUCCAAGAUGGUCCACUGAUGUUUGCAUCUCCUGCUGGUGGCUUUUGUCAUGAGGCAAAGGAUGCCCUGAAGCCAGCAGUGUCACAUCUACAGGUAACUAGCAAAAGGAAAAGGGAAGCGUCAACCUAAAGUGUCUCGGGAGUACAAAAAUAACUCCAACAUGUCUUGGUGUCAACUUGAAGGAUGCAGCACAAAACCCUUUUGAAGAUAUCCAGCAUUUUCUGCUGCUGACAGAAAAUGGUUCAAAAGUGCUGAGACGAUUAGCCUUACAAUGAAAUAGCUGAUCAAGCCUUUAUCUAUUCAAGUUAGACUAUUCAUCCCCACCCUCUGCAAGGCCUUUAGAAAUACCCAUUAUUUUCCAAAAAAAAGGCAAAGAUGUGUGUUUAUGCGUAAUUGUAUAAUUGUAUUCACAGAAUACAAGCAGUUGCUUGUGGAGAAACAUGUGUCAGUGCAGUACAGUAUGGUUUGUCACUAAGUGGGUCUGAAGGCCUGGACAAAGUAUACAAAUUCAAAAUGUGCGUAGAUGAAGUUUUUUUAAGAAGGUAUCAGUAUUCAAAAACCAAAUGCAGUCUGAAUGUUUCUAUACGAUAUCCACCCAUUAACAAAGUUGCACAGUAGUGCUGUGAAAUAACCCCUCCCAAAUGCUCAAAUGCCCACAUUACUGUAGAUUGACAGAAAUAGCGGACUCACAAUAUUACAGUUCUGUAUCUGGAUGAAUACAACACUUAUAUAUAUAUAUAUGAAUAGGUCACUUGCUUAAACACUACAUCUAGAUACAUCUUUCAGUACAAUUGGAUUAAGCCGAAAGCAUUUGGGAAAACAUUAAGACUUCAGACGACACUUACUCACCAUUGAUACCCUGAAGGCGGUAAGAAUGCAUGCACAAAUUCUACUAUUAAAGUUUAGAUGUUUAAAAAAAAAAAGGUUGUUUUCGUUGAAGGUGAUUUUUGGCCAUGGAACAUGACCUUGAAGCUGCUGUUAAAGAAAAGUAAAGAAUAAAACUUCUAAACUCUAUUAUACAAUAGAACAUUUUUGCUUCUUUCUUUGUCUCCUUUCUAUUAUUUUUCCACUAGACGGCACACUAUUUCUCUUUUAUCUACAGACAGCACACUUUGUGUUAUCUUAUUUUGUUUGGGAGAAGAUUCACAAGUACUAUCUGCCCCAUGAUCCCAACAGACGAAAAGAUACAGAGCUCCAAGUCUGGAAACUUCCCAGCGAGAGAAAUUAGGUCUUACUGAACCUUUGGUGUGUCUUUAAAAUCUCUGGUUAAAGAAGAUCUGUAACCCAAUGAAGCUGCAGGCUGCAUAGUGUUCAAGCUCUAUCAAAUGUGUUAUAAAGUGCAGAUUUUAAUAAACCAGCUUGUUUGACAGCACAACUGAAAUCUCCUGCAGGAAUUGGGCUUUUCAUUGGAUUAUUCAAGGUUGUUGGGGUUAACUGGGUUUACUGUAAAAUUAAAAGUUUUCAAAAGAAAAAAGUCAGAAAUAAAAUGUGUUUCACUUACUUUUCUAUCGUAUGAGAUACAACAACUUAAAUAUCCAAUUCUGCAAAUCACCUCUUGCAGCUCGGCGGCUAGGCACCGAUAGCAGCCAGCAAGGCCACUAGCCGCACAGCGUCAGAGAUCGACCCGCUAGUGUGCACUAGAUGUUGAAAUAGUGCAUCAUAUUUUGGGUUACAUAGUGACAAACGGGUCACUACAAAACAACAAUGGUUGUUUUAACCAUCACCUCUCCCCACUCAUCAGAGAAAGUUGUUGUAAUGUUUUGUCAAGCAUUAGGUAAACUGCAGAUCAGGUUCUGUAUUUGGUCUGUGGGGUUCUUUUAUAUUCAAUCCUGUACCUGAUCCAGGUAAAUUUGUG
ensembl:lncRNA